GAUGAAGAACGUAGCGAAAUGCGAUACGUAGUGUGAAUUGCAGAAUUCAGUGAAUCAUCGAAUCUUUGAACGCACAUUGCGCCCCUUGGUAUCCCGAGGGGCAUGCCUGUUCGAGCGUCAUUUCACCACUCAAGCCUGGCUUGGUGUUGGGCGACGUCCCCUUUGGGGACGCGCCUCGAAACGCUCGGCGGCGUGGCACCGGCUUUAAGCGUAGCAGAAUCUUUCGCUUUGGAAGUCGGGGCCCCGUCUGCCGGAAGACCUACUCGCAAGGUUGACCUCGGAUCAGGCAGGGAUACCCGCUGAACUUAAGCAUAUCAAUAAGCGGAGGA
rnacentral:misc_RNA from 1 species